UACGUAGGGGGCAAGCGUUGUCCGGAAUCAUUGGGCGUAAAGCGCGUGUAGGCGGCUCGAUAAGUCUGCUGUGAAAGUCCAGGGCUCAACCCUGGAAUGCCGGUGGAAACUGUCGGGCUAGAGUCCGGAAGAGGCGAGUGGAAUUCCUGGUGUAGCGGUGAAAUGCGCAGAUAUCAGGAGGAACACCGAUGGCGAAGGCAGCUCGCUGGGACGGUACUGACGCUGAGACGCGAAAGCGUGGGGAGCAAACAGG
rnacentral:rRNA from 1 species